GAGGUCAGUGUUAGUGACAUGGGUGUGCAAGGUUGACUGUUGGUCGUCUUGGCUCUUUAUUUGACCCCAGUGGAGAGGUUAAAGAAAACUGAAUCUGAGGAGUACUGUCCGGGUAGCAGUGUUGAGAAGUAGUGUUGUUUCUCUCGAGGAAUUGGCAAUCAGCCGAAUCUUCAAAUUAAUUAAUGUGUAAUGGAAACGGUGUCUUCAGAAAUUGAUGAAGUUCACACCACAUGUAAUGUACGCCUUCCAGUGUAUUGAUUUUCACUACAGGUAUGUUAAUUUAUAUUGGCUAAUAUGAAUUACCUACCGAAAGGGAGGCGUUAGGAUAUAUCACCAAAAUCUUAAUUUGGUCCAGAUGUAUGAGACGUGAUGAGCUGAGAAGGUGAGCACGAAGGUGGGAUAUUAGUGUGACCUGGUGACCUUAAAGUCCCACUUGACUCUGAGCUACAUCAGUAUCAGGGUCAUCACUCUCGUGGCCUGGUCUGGGACCAGGCUUCUUGACUAAUGACUUAUCAGUCACCUUGUUGGUUUCAGCAGGGUGCAAGCCAACGUAGGCACUAUAGCCCGGCUGACGCUUAAGAACCUUAGUUGCCCCUCUUGAAGAGAGCUAGGAUUCUGCUGGCAAGUUACCUUAUAAAUAAAGGAAAAGUAUUUUUGAUAAAACUUGUAUGCUAACGUUGUCUGUAGUCAAGGCAUCCUCGGGAUUACCUAACGUCUGAAACUAGUGUACACUGGGAAGACAGAUAACAGAAGACUUUACGGCCAUAUCAGGGUUAUCUGUAUAGAAGAACUAAACUGUCGAUAAAUGUGAGAAACUGAACCAAUAAUAAGCAAGCAAAUCUAAAAUCAACUACGUAUACCGAGAUGAUGUCAUACGCACGUAUUCACUGGCAUUACCAACACCGGGGCGUUGUAAUGCUGGCAAUGGGAAAAGUCGGUAGAGAGUAUGGAAAUUUUUAGCGAGAGCAGCGAUGCCACAUGUCGCUAGCAUGCCAGCAACCAACCCUCAUGGGAACACCACUACCCCACACACUACCUAAGCAUAACGUGUGUGCAAGUUGAAGCGUUAUCACACUCGCACGGGUCAGAAUUUAGUUUAAUGAGUGAAAACACAUCUUUUAGCCAGUAUUUUGUGUAUUUAGCGUGAAUGUUAACCCAUAUCCAACUAAAAAUUUUCGAUAGUUAAUUAAAAAUCCCUCUAAAUACCGCCUCUUUCAUACACAUGCCUGUCUUAACGCCUAGUUUUCAUUCAUAAUGUAAUGGAUCUUCAUCAUGUGCUAAUUCGCUGUCAACUUAGACUGACAGCUUCAUCAUAAGCAGACAAAACUUGGCGGUAUCAAAGAGGGCAGACAGAGAGGUUGAGAGGAAGGAGCCAGUAACAAGGAGUCACAGAUGUAAACUAAACAUACACAUGAACCUCAGGGAUGUCCAAGUAUUUAUCCAGUCGCAGCAUGACUAAUAAUUAUGAGAUAAGGAUGUGGUUGGGGUACCUUCCAGUCAACUUCAAAAGUAGGUAUGACAGUCAGGGAGGCGAGAAUACAGUGGAUGUGGUUCAAGCUAACCCAAGAGGCGGAGCCUGGAGCUGCAUUUUGAAACACAACUGUGAAUGAAUAUUUAACUCGCUAGUUUACUGGGUUUACCCAUCUCAACACUGAUCAUGCUCCUUAUCAUAAUCUGUCGGACACAAAAAUAAUUUACUGGACUUUAUUGACAAUCGACAGAACCAAGUAAAACUGGCACUAUUUCAAACGAAAUCAAUAUCUCUCGUUCUUUCUAACGUCAGUUUAAAAAGUUACUUAUUCAUAAUCUAUGAAACUAAAUAUUCCGGUUAUUUAAAAAGAGCAUGAUACAUUUUAAUACCUCACCGGGGAAACGCCUGCAAUACAAAAAAAGUCGAAGCUACUUUAUCAGUAUAUUUAAAGCUGGUGUCUACGUUCAUUCUCACAUGACUAACAAAGUCGUCUUGUCUUGUAUGUGUAGGCUUGCUUUGCCCCGGAUCAUUCUCGUCACCAGCAGGUUACAAACCGUCAUUCCCGUCCCCUGGCAGUGUGUUCCACUAUGGUGGCUGGCCGCGCAUUUUCGUGUUAAUAAUCACUACCUGGCUACUUUGCCCCUUGUCAUUAUUUUGAAAAAAGUUUUUUAUGUAUUCAUACUCGUGCAACAUUGUCACUGAGGAAAUAUAGCAUAUUUCAAAUUAUGAGGGUUGUAAACAAUGAUGGCAGUAAAUUCGAACUGAGAAGUUAGCAAAUAUAAGAACUGGCAAAUAUCUCCCCCGUGAUAACAUACAGGUCGAGGUAGGGAGACGGAUCCACUGUGUUCGCUCACUGACCUUGACCUCGACGUAAUAUGAACUAGCCUAAUGUUUGAUGUUAAUGUAAUUCCUGUAUUAUACACCACGAGAAUAAUUUACACUGUUGUUAAGUGCUGUUGAAGCAAUUAAAUAUUAUAAUGUAUUCGUAGUCAA